GAGUAACACGUGGAUAACCUACCUGUAAGACUGGGAUAACUUCGGGAAACCGGAGCUAAUACCGGAUAAUAUAUUGAACCGCAUGGUUCAAUAGUGAAAGACGGUUUUGCUGUCACUUAUAGAUGGAUCCGCGCCGCAUUAGCUAGUUGGUAAGGUAACGGCUUACCAAGGCAACGACGCGUAGCCGACCUGAGAGGGUGAUCGGCCACACUGGAACUGAGACACGGUCCAG
rnacentral:rRNA from 1 species